GAUGAACGCUGGCGGCGUGCCUAAUACAUGCAAGUCGAGCGAACGGACGAGAAGCUUGCUUCUCUGAUGUUAGCGGCGGACGGGUGAGUAACACGUGGAUAACCUACCUAUAAGACUGGGAUAACUUCGGGAAACCGUAGCUAAUACCGGCUAAUAUUUUGAACCGCAUGGUUCAAAAGUGAAAGACGGUCUUGCUGUCACUUAUAGAUGGAUCCGCGCUGCAUUAGCUAGUUGGUAAGGUAACGGCUUACCAAGGCAACGAUGCAUAGCCGACCUGAGCGGGGGAUCGGCCACACUGGAACUGAGACACGGUCCAGACUCCUACGGGAGGCAGCAGUAGGGAAUCUUACGCAAUGGGCGAAAGCCUGACGGAGCAAAGCCGCGUGAGUGAUGAAGGUAUUCGGAUCGUAAAACUCUGUUAUUAGGGAAGAACAUAUGUGUAAGUAACUGUGCACAUCUUGACGGUACCUAAUCAGAAAGACACGGCUAACUAAGUG
rnacentral:rRNA from 1 species